rnacentral:rRNA from 1 species
GAGUUUGAUCAUGGCUCAGAACGUACGCUGGCGGCACGCCUAACACAUGCAAGUCGAACGAAGUAGCAAUACUUAGUGGCAGACGGGUGAGUAACAUGUAGGUAUCUGCCCUUUGGCCUGGAAUAACACGAGGAAACUUGUGCUAAUACCGGAUAAGUCUUUACGGAGAAAGCUUUAUGCACCAUUGGAUGAGCCUGCACUUGAUUAGUUUGUUGGUGGGGUAAUGGCCUACCAAGACUGUGAUCAAUAGCUGAUUUGAGAGGAUGAUCAGCCACAUUGGGACUGAGACACGGCCCAAACUCCUACGGGAGGCAGCAGUGGGGAAUCUUGCACAAUGGAGGAAACUCUGAUGCAGCGAUGCCGCGUGAGUGAAGAAGGCCCUUGGGUUGUAAAGCUCUUUCGUCGGGGAAGAAAAUGACUGUACCCGAAUAAGAAGGUCCGGCUAACUUCGUGCCAGCAGCCGCGGUAAUACGAAGGGACCUAGCGUAGUUCGGAAUUACUGGGCUUAAAGAGUUCGUAGGUGGUUGAAAAAGUUAGUGGUGAAAUCCCAGAGCUUAACUCUGGAACUGCCAUUAAAACUUUUCAGCUAGAGUAUGAUAGAGGAAAGCAGAAUUUCUAGUGUAGAGGUGAAAUUCGUAGAUAUUAGAAAGAAUACCAAUUGCGAAGGCAGCUUUCUGGAUCAUUACUGACACUGAGGAACGAAAGCAUGGGUAGCGAAGAGGAUUAGAUACCCUCGUAGUCCAUGCCGUAAACGAUGUGUGUUAGACGUUGGAAAUUUAUUUUCAGUGUCGCAGGGAAACCGAUAAACACACCGCCUGGGGAGUACGACCGCAAGGUUAAAACUCAAAUGAAUUGACGGGGACCCGCACAAGUAGUGGAGCAUGUGGUUUAAUUCGAAGAUACGCGCAGAACCUUACCAACACUUGACAUGCUCGUCGCGACUCUAAGAGAUUAGAGUUUUCGGUUCGGCCGGACGAAACACAGGUGCUGCAUGGCUGUCGUCAGCUCGUGUCGUGAGAUGUUGGGUUAAGUCCCGCAACGAGCGCAACCCUCACUUUUAGUUGCCAUCAUUAAGUUGGGCACUCUGAAAGAACUGCCAGUGAUAAGCUGGAGGAAGGUGGGGAUGACGUCAAGUCCUCAUGGCCCUUACGUGUUGGGCUACACACGUGCUACAAUGGUAUCUACAACAGGAAGCAAGACUGCGAAGUUAAGCAAAUCCCUAAAAGAUACCUCAGUUCGGAUUGCACUCUGCAACUCGAGUGCAUGAAGCUGGAAUUACUAGUAAUCGUGGAUCAGCGUGCCACGGUGAAUGCGU